GCGAGCGGCGGACGGGUGAGUAACACGUGGGUAACCUGCCCAAGAGACUGGGAUAACACCUGGAAACAGAUGCUAAUACCGGAUAACAACACUAGACGCAUGUCUAGAGUUUGAAAGAUGGUUCUGCUAUCACUCUUGGAUGGACCUGCGGUGCAUUAGCUAGUUGGUAAGGUAACGGCUUACCAAGGCAAUGAUGCAUAGCCGAGUUGAGAGACUGAUCGGCCACAUCGGGACUGAGACACGGCCCAAACUCCUACGGGAGGCAACAGUAGGGAAUCUUCCACAAUGGACGAAAGUCUGAUGGAGCAACGCCGCGUGAGUGAAGAAGGGUUUCGGCUCGUAAAGCUCUGUUGGUAGUGAAGAAAGAUAGAGGUAGUAACUGGCCUUUAUUUGACGGUAAUUACUUAGAAAGCCACGGCUAACUACGUGCCAGCAGCCGCGGUAAUACGUAGGUGGCAAGCGUUGUCCGGAUUUAUUGGGCGUAAAGCGAGUGCAGGCGGUUCAAUAAGUCUGAUGUGAAAGCCUUCGGCUCAACCGGAGAAUUGCAUCAGAAACUGUUGAACUUGAGUG
rnacentral:rRNA from 1 species